rnacentral:sRNA from 1 species
AGUGUACAAGAGUUGCUGUAGCAACCUCACAGCUGUGCUCUGUCUAGCAGAAACUUGGGAUACAGAAAAACAGCAAAUACAAAUCAUGGAUGAAAUUUAUAAGAUCACUUCCACAGAAAGGGUCCAGCUGUUGGAGAAAAAACUGACUGUGCAACUGACUGAACUGAAGUCUGAGAUAGAAGAGCAGGGAGCUCUUCAGGGAACAGCUAAUCGAGUUUACAGCUCUAUUCAAGUGCCAAAGGAUAUUUAUUACUUUAGAAGAGAGAGGGAACUAGCACUGAAGAAAACCUUACAGGUGGCCGAGUCGAAGCCCCUUGUUGUUCAGGCAGACGCCAUGCAGAGGGAGCUAAAGAGCUGCCUAAGAAGGGAGUACACCCCUGAAAAUUUACCUUUGCUUCUGUUGCAGUAUUACACAGAGAGAAUUACCCAGCUGGCCCAGAGUAAAUAUUUACACAUGCUUAGGUGGAAGAGGUUUUGCCAACACAGUAAGAUCAUGGAGCAACUUUAUCCUCUUUACAAGAAACAAGUUGGCUACAUUAUGCAGGAGUACAAUGAUGCCCUUCAGAGAGCUGAAAGAUUGUCUGUUGCUCGAGAAAACUUCCUCAUGGGAAAAAACAAUCCUCCUAACUUGGUGACACAGGAAGAUCUGACUAUUUACACAAGGUGGUUAGUGUGCCACCUGCACUCUCUCGGGACUGUUCACCAGUACCUGCAGGCCCUCCAGUAUUUGCCCAUCUCCAAAGUGCUGAGUUUAGCUUUCAACCAAGUCACUGAAGUUGGUCAGAAAAAUGAAAAUGUCUGUGUCAAUGACAUUGACCCUGACAUUCAGGGUUCUGCAUCUCCUGACCCUGUGGAUAUCAGCAUUUCUGGGCCAAUGAGAACAGAAGCUGCUUUUGUCCUCCCCCAACAUGCAACAGAAACAGGAGAACUGAAACCUCAGCUGAAGCUCCUGCUCUCCCAUUUCAGUAUCCCAUAUGACGUAGAAGAGCUCUGGGACUCUGCUAAGGAAAUGGAACUUUUUUCCUUGGUUUCCCAAAAAUUUCAAAGCGUCUUCAUGGAGCAACAGAGAUUGCAAAUGUUUCCAGACUAUGAAGCUGGAACAGCUAAAGCAGAUAAUUUGGGUUUGGCAGGACCCAGAAUGACCCUGAAAAAGAGAGCCAACUGGAUUUCCUUCAUAAAGAUCAAGCCAAAAUGUGAUCCAUGGCAAAAGAAGCUUUUGACUAAAUUAAAAGAACGGAGAAGAACAGAUGCAUUAUUGCAACUCCAAGCAAAGUUUUUGAAGAUUUCCAACCCUGAGCGAGUAAUGCAAGUGCUCCAAGAUCACGCUGCAAAGACAGUCAUGCUGGCUCCAUAUCAUCCAUCUUUUGUGGCUUCCCAAGGUUUGCAUCAGUGCAAUUAUGACCAAGUCUGGGAGAAUAUUUACAACAUCAACCUCUGUCAGAAUAAAAAUAUGAAGGAUGAUGACCUCUCCAUGAAACAAAAUGAAAAUGAUCUAUCACAAAUAACUCUCAGCCAACAUGCUGAUGGGCCUCUCAAGCAGAUACAAGAGACGGGGUACAACUAUGCAAUGACCCUACAACUGCUGGGCUUGGAAGACGGCACUGACCCCAGUGAUAGGAAUCCUGUUCUGAUGAGAGGGGCCUACUUGUCCUUUCUGUAUCUGCGCCACCUUCGAAUCAGAGAACUGCAGCGCAUCUGCUUAGGAAUUCUGAAUUAUUUCAGAUCUGUUGAGCGAACCCUGACAAUCAAUACUUCGGGCCUUACCUUGGUUUCAGGGAAACUGGUCCCCACCAUGGAAGAUAGUUCCUGGGUAAAUAUGGCAAAAGGAGGUCUGGGCACCUUGCAGGGCCUGGGCGCUCACCACUAUGUCCAUGAGACGCCUGCUGAGCACAAGGUCCACAGCGUCCAAUUCAUGGAGUUCUCGGAAGUGGAGAACCAGGAUGACUACUACAGCACA